rnacentral:rRNA from 1 species
GAUGAACGCUAGCUACAGGCUUAACACAUGCAAGUCGCGGGGCAGCAUGGGGGUUGCUUGCAAUCCCCGAUGGCGACCGGCGCACGGGUGAGUAACGCGUAUUCAACCUGCCCUUCACCACGGGAUAACCCGGCGAAAGUCGGACUAAUACCGUAUGUUGUCCAUUGACGGCAUCCGAUUUGGACGAAAGGCUUGGCGGUGAGGGAUGGGGAUGCGUCCGAUUAGCCAGACGGCGGGGUAACGGCCCACCGUGGCUACGAUCGGUAGGGGUUCUGAGAGGAAGGUCCCCCACACUGGAACUGAGACACGGUCCAGACCCCUACGGGAGGCAGCAGUGAGGAAUAUUGGUCAAUGGGCGUAAGCCUGAACCAGCCAAGUAGCGUGCAGGAUGACGGCCCUAUGGGUUGUAAACUGCUUUUAUGCGGGGAUAAAGUGGCCCACGUGUGGGCUUUUGCAGGUACCGCAUGAAUAAGGACCGGCUAAUUCCGUG